rnacentral:pre_miRNA from 1 species
UCAUGAUGAUGAUGUUCGUGCUCAUCAUGGUCGUGAUCGUGAUGAUGAUGUUCAUGCUCCUCAUGAUCGUGGUCAUGGUGGUGAUGAUCGUGAUGU